UACAGAGGGUGCGAGCGUUGUCCGGAAUCACUGGGCGUAAAGGGCGCGUAGGUGGCGCUCCAAGUCCGUGGUGAAAGCUCGAUGCUCAACAUCGAGUCGGCCACGGAGACUGGAGGGCUCGAGCACUGUAGGGGCAGAUGGAAUUCCGGGUGUAGCGGUGGAAUGCGUAGAGAUCCGGAAGAACACCAGUGGCGAAGGCGGCUCACUGGCCCGGUACUGACGCUGAGGUGCGAAAGCGUGGGGAGCGAACGGAGUAGAUACCCGAGUACGUAC
rnacentral:rRNA from 1 species